UAAUUGAAGAGUUUGAUCAUGGCUCAGAUUGAACGCUGGCGGCAGGCCUAACACAUGCAAGUCGGGCGGUAACAGGGAGAAGCUUGCUUCUCUGCUGACGAGCGGCGGACGGGUGAGUAAUGUAUGGGGAUCUGCCUGAUGGAGGGGGAUAACUACUGGAAACGGUAGCUAAUACCGCAUAAUGUCUUCGGACCAAAGCGGGGGACCU
rnacentral:rRNA from 1 species